rnacentral:rRNA from 1 species
GGCGGACGGGUGAGUAAUGUAUAGUUAAUCUGCCCUUUAGAGGGGGAUAACAGUUGGAAACGACUGCUAAUACCCCAUACUCCUUUUACAUUAAUUGUAAUUGGGAAAUGUUUUUUCGCUAAAGGAUGAGACUAUAUGGUAUCAGGUAGUUGGUGGGGUAAGAGCCUACCAAGCCAAUGACGCCUAGCUGGUCUGAGAGGAUGAUCAGCCACACUGGAACUGAGACACGGCCCAG